AUAGCCAUCUAGUUCUGUGGCCUACCAGUUCUCAUCCUUUGAAUUCUUAGGUUAGACGAGAAGAUACAUGAGAUCUCUAAAUCUUCAGGUUUAAACGUAGAUGUCUUUCACUACACCAGAGUAAAUAGCUUAUUCAAUAUUCAUUUUAUGAUCGUUAUUGGACUUCGGCUUCCUACUGCCUUUCAAAUAGGCCAUCGCAAGAUUUUGUCCAGUAGUAACGCCAGCAUUCAUCCUUUAAUGUUCGUGCCCGUCUCCUUAGUGCUUGAUAGAAAGGAUGCACUUCUUAUGUUAGUGUUCAUGGGCAAGAAAAUGACCAGAGAAAGAGAAGAAAAGGAAAAACCCACAGCCUUAAAUCAUCUGCUUCCUUAAUGAAGUUAGCUUUACAACAAUGCUUGUGGAGCCUUUGUGGUCAUUCUCAGACAUGCACAGAGUGGGGAAAAACAUUGAGUCACCUGGAAUCCACGUUCAGCUGAGGUUGAACCAGCAAUCCUGGAAUCAGGGCACUACGGGUAACCACAUUCUCACUUUACAAAUGAUAACUCACACACCCCAUGGAAGAUCCGGGAAGUCUUCUGAUGCCCCUGCUUUCCAAGACAAUAUGAUGCUUCUCUACAUUCCAUGGACUAUGACAAGUAUAUCAGUCGUCGAAGUGGGUGGUUUAAUGGCAUGAUUAGCUCCAUUUUCUCUUCCUGCAGCAUAGCAAAGUGCAUAAAGCUUGAGCUCUGUGUCCAGCAGAUCUUUAUUAGAAUUCCAGUCCCCCCACAGUUACAUAUGCUCUCUCCCUGACAGUUUUCACAGAUGAAUCAUCCAGACUCCAUUUCCUAUUAGAGCUGGACCCUCCACUUGGACUUUUGACACUUAGACCCCUCUAGCCCACACAGGGACAUCAGUGCAAUAAUUCUCCCCUUUCUACAGCAUCAUUAAAUUUUGCCUCUCUCCUGGAUCAUCCCAUUCACAUAUUCAUAUGCUGUUAUUUCUCCCAUCUAAAACUGACCAGGCACUGUGGCUCAUGUCUAUAAUCCUAGCACUUUGGGAGGCCAAGGCUGGCAGAUCACUUGAGGCUAGGAGUUUGAGACCAGCCUGGCCAACAUGACAAAACCCCAUCUCUACUAAAAAUACAAAAAUUAGCAGGGUGUGCUGCACUCCAGCUUGGGCGACAGAGCAAGACACUGUCUCAAAAUAAAUAAAUAAUUAAUUAAAAAUAAAA
rnacentral:lncRNA from 1 species